rnacentral:tRNA from 1 species
ACCUGGGUGGCUCAGUCGGUUGAGUGUCUGACUUCGACUUGGGUCAUGAUCUCACAGUUCGUGGGUUCGAGUCCCACAUUGGGCU